AAUGAACGUUGGCGGCGUGGAUUAGGCAUGCAAGUCGUGCGGAAAGGCUCCUUCGGGAGUACUCGAGCGGCGAAAGGGAGAGUAACGCGUGGAUAUCUACCCCUUGGCCUGGGAUAGCGGCGGGAAACUGCCGGUAAUACCAGAUAAUAUCUGCGGAUCAAAGGUGUGAUUCCGCCGGGGGAUGCGUCCGCGUCCUAUUAGCUAGUUGGUGAGGUAACGGCCCACCAAGGCUGAGAUGGGUACCGGGUGUGAGAGCAUGGCCCGGCUCACUGGGACUGAGACACUGCCCAGACACCUACGGGUGGCUGCAGUCGAGAAUCUUCGGCAAUGGGCGCAAGCCUGACCGAGCGACGCCGCGUGCGGGAUGAAGGCCUUCGGGUUGUAAACCGCUGUCAGAGGGGAGGAAAUGCAUGGGGGUUCUCCCUCAUGUUUGACCUAUCCUCAGAGGAAGUACGGGCUAAGUUCGUGCCAGCCGCCGCAGUAA
rnacentral:rRNA from 1 species